rnacentral:rRNA from 1 species
AUUGAACGCUGGCGGCAGGCCUAACACAUGCAAGUCGAACGAGUGGCGGACGUGUGAGUAAUGUCUGUGAAACUGCCCGCUAGAGGGGGAUAACUACUGGAAACGGUGGCUAAUACCGCAUACUAUCGGAUGUGCCCAUAUGGGAUUAGCUAGUCGGUGGGGUAACGGCUCACCUAGGCGACGAUCCCUAGCUGGUCUUAGAGGAUGAUCAGCCACACUGGAACUUAGACACGGCCCAGACUCCUACGGUAGGCAGCAGUGGGGAAUAUGGCACAAUGGGCGCAAGCCUGAUGCAGCCAUGCCGCGUGUAUGAAGAAGGCCUGAGGGUUGUAAAGUACUUUCAGCGAGGAGGCGUUACUCGCAGAAGAAGCACCGGCUAACUCCGUGCCAGCAGCCGCGGUAAUUC